AUACGGAGGGUGCGAACGUUAAUCGGAAUUACUGGGCGUAAAGCGCGCGUAGGCGGUUCGGUAAGUGGGAUGUGAAAGCCCCGGGCUCAACCUGGGAACUGCAUUCCAAACUGCAGGACUAGAGUAUGGUAGAGGGAGGUAGAAUUUCCUGUGUAGCGGUGAAAUGCGUAGAUAUAGGAAGGAAUACCGAUGGCGAAGGCAGCCUCCUGGACCAAUACUGACGCUGAGGUGCGAAAGCGUGGGGAGCAAACAGGAUUAGAAACCCCAGUAGUCC
rnacentral:rRNA from 1 species